rnacentral:rRNA from 1 species
CAAAAUCCGUAAGUUGAGCUGAAACACGAUAGUACACUGAACCUACGGGUGAGGUGAUAGUUGCCCCGAGCAUGCUUCCAAGAAAAGCUUCUAAGCUCUAGGAUAAUACAACCCGUACCGUAAACCGACACAGGUAGUCGAGGAGAGUAUCCUCAGGCGCUCGAGUGAUCCAUGGCUAAGGAACUCGGCAAAAUAGACUCGUAACUUCGGGAGAAGAGUCUCCCACCGCAAGGUGGGACGCAGUGAAGAGGCCCAAGCGACUGUUUAGCAAAAACACAGGACUCUGCGAAAUCGAAAGAUGAAGUAUAGGGUCUGACACCUGCCCGGUGCCGGAAGGUUAAGGAAGGGGCUUAGGGAGCAAUCUCGAAGGUCUUAACUGAAGCCCCGGUAAACGGCGGCCGUAACAAUAACGGUCCUAAGGUAGCGAAAUUCCUUGUCGGGUAAGUUCCGACCUGCACGAAUGGUGUAACGAUUUGGGCACUGUCUCAGCCAUGAGCUCGGUGAAAUUGUAGUAUCGGUGAAGAUGCCGAUUACCCGCAACGGGACGGAAAGACCCCGUGAACCUUUACUAUAGCUUCACAUUGUGCUUGAGUAUGGGAUGUGUAGGAUAGGUGGGAGGCUACGAAGCUGUGACGCUAGUCAUGGUGGAGCCGUCGUUGAAAUACCACCCUUCCCAUACUUAGGUUCUAACCCCGCAAGGGGGACGGUGUGUGGUGGGUAGUUUGACUGGGGUGGUCGCCUCCAAAAGAGUAACGGAGGCUCGCAAAGGUACCCUCAGCAUGGACGGUAAUCAUGCGAAGAGCGUAUAAGUACAAGGGUGCUUGACUGAGAGAACGACGGUUCGAACAGGUGCGAAAGCAGGCUUAAGUGAUCCGGUGGUUCUGUAUGGAAGGGCCAUCGCUCAAAGGAUAAAAGGUACUCCGGGAUAACAGGCUGAUCUCCCCCAAGAGCUCACAUCGACGGGGAGGUUUGGCACCUCGAUGUCGGCUCGUCACAUCCUGGGGCUGGAGAGGGUCCCAAGGGUUGGGCUGUUCGCCCAUUAAAGUGGCACGCGAGCUGGGUUCAGAACGUCGCAAGACAGCUCUGUCCCUAUCUGUUGUGGGCGCAGGAAUAUUGAGGAGAUCUGACUCUAGUACGAGAGGACCGGGUUGGACGUACCGCUAGUGUACCAGUUGUGCCGCCAGGUGCAGCGCUGGGUAGCUAUGUACGGCACGGAUAAGCGCUGAAAGCAUCUAAGCGCGAAGCCGUCUCCAAGAUGAGUAUUCCACUGAGGGUCGUAGAAGAUUACUACGUUGAUAGGUUACAGGUGGAAGCGUAGUGAUGCGUGGAGCCGAGUAAUACUAAUUACCCGAUAGCUUCCUCAA